CGGGGCGUAGCGCAGCCCGGUAGCGCACCUGCCUUGGGCGCAGGGGGUCGGAGGUUCGAAUCCUCUCGCCCCGA
rnacentral:tRNA from 1 species